GAUGAAGAACGCAGCGAAAUGCGAUAAGUAAUGUGAAUUGCAGAAUUCAGUGAAUCAUCGAAUCUUUGAACGCACAUUGCGCCCCCUGGUAUUCCGGGGGGCAUGCCUGUCUGAGCGUCAUUACAACCCUCAAGCUCAGCUUGGUAUUGGGCCCCGCCGACCCGGCGGGCCCUAAAGUCAGUGGCGGUGCCGUCCGGCUCCGAGCGUAGUAAUUCUUCUCGCUCUGGAGGUCCGGUCGUGUGCUCGCCAGCAACCCCCAAUUUUUUUCAGGUUGACCUCGGAUCAGGUAGGGAUACCCGCUGAACUUAAGCAUAUCAAUAAGCGGAGGA
rnacentral:misc_RNA from 1 species